GUAUGUGUAGUUGAAUUUAUUCAGCCACUGUGUGACUGUUGUAUUUUUGUUGUCACGGCCUUAUUGUAUGUCACGGUGGUGUAUGAACGAAUGGGUUAUAGAGCAAACAACACAAUUAUCACAACAUAUGGCGUUUUUACUGGCUUGACUUCCCCAGUGAUUUUACCCACGCACCGCUACUGCUCCAACAGGGUCAACGGGAAGGAUCGGUCAAUGAAGUUGGAACUCCCACCCAGUUGACCGCAUGAAAAUGGUGGAAGCCCUCAAUGGCGCUGCCCAUGCAAGUACGGCCUUUUGGCCACUAGAGGCCUCUAUCAUUCUUCAUGGUUCCAUACGCUCUCUUAUGCUGCAUCGUGCCUGUAUUGCGUAUUGCUUACAGUCGAGUCGGUUCAAUUGUAAAGUCAAGAUGGCUUCUCGUUUGAAGGUCCUCAGAGUGUUCAAAGCACUGCACAGAACAAGAAUGGAGUUGUUCAAAGAAGAUACCAGAGCAUUGACAGCUGCAAGACGAAAGAUAAAUGAGGAAUUCAGGAAAAACAAAAAUG